UUUUAAUAAGCUCUUUAUUGAGCAGAGAGUAUUAUGAAGUGGUCUCUGUUAGAACUGAUGGCAUUUCAUUACACUUAAAAGGAUUUUUAUAAGUAAGAAGUGGGCCUGGAACUAGGUCUAAUUACAUUACUUUGUUAAUGUGGUACCUUUUUAUGCCUUUUUUCAGAGUAGAACAGCCCUCCAGGCUACUGUGCCUGUAAGAGAGAUCCUGAAAGUAUGAUUGCAGCAUGGCUGGUGCAAUGAUGUCUUUCCAAGGGAACCCGGAGCUGAGGACUGUCCUUCCCUAUGCAGUGCAGGCUUUGAUGGGCUAAUGCAACACUCUUCCCGGUCUGCUUACCAGAUGUUGGGGGGAAAGUUAAUUAACACACCGAGCUGACUUUCUAGUCUCUUUUUCUGUGCUUCAAAUAGAGGUUUGACUCGGGAUAUCGAAUUCUCAUCAGAUGUUUGGAGCCUGGAGGAGGAGAGGUGAUGGGAAGGGUACCCUGGCUACAUUCAGUAACUGCUGGUGCCACUGGAGCUGGGAUAUUCCAAACAACUCUAAAGAAUGGGAUCAGCCUGAAAUAGCUUGGGGUCCUCUGUCCCACAGUUUUUUAGACAUCCAUUAGACUUGAAUCUGAUCUACUGAGAGUAGCCAAGAUGACCUCACCUUGAUGAGAGAACAAAUCUGGCAAAUUUCUGGUGAUCUGGAGGUCACAUCUAACCUAAGGUAAUGUGGUUCUUAGGGAUAAAAGUGUUUGCUCUCUUAGAGCGACUUAGAAUGACUUUGAGUGGUAAUCUCAUUUAUACAUUUAACUUAUCUAUCUCAAUAACUGUUUACAGAGAAUUGAGGUUUAAGUGGUCCGUUCUUGACUAGAGAUUACAACAACUUUUCUGGGAUCAUGACAUGCUUGCUCAGUUUAUAUUUUGGAAAACAUUUGGCAGCCUGGGAGUUUGAAUCAAGAAAUAUGUUCUGCAAUGGUGGUCUGUCCUUGUCCCUAUGGCACAGAUUAAGGACUCAGAAAUAAAAGCAGUGACCUAACUUAGAUGGUGCUCUGGAAUAAGGAGUAACUAAUGGAACUGCUGCUUUAUUAAAGAGAAAAACCUCAGUGGCUUUUUGUUUCAGCCACUCACAGCUUUAGCAAAACAGGCUUUUGAUACUGAAACUUGAUAUACUUU